AGGGGUAUAGCUCAAUGGUAGAGCACAUGCUUAGUAUACAUCCGGUCCUGGGUUCAAUCCCCAGUACCUCCG
rnacentral:tRNA from 1 species